rnacentral:rRNA from 1 species
AGCAGCCGCGGUAAUUCCAGCUCCAAUAGCGUAUAUUAAAGUUGUUGCGGUUAAAAAGCUCGUAGUUGAAUUUCGGGGUCAGUAGAUUGGUCGUGCCACUGGUAUGCACUGGUCUUACUGGCUCCUCCUUCCUGAUGAACCGUAAUGCCAUUAAUUUGGUGUUGCGGGGAGACUGGACUGUUACUUUGAAAAAAUUAGAGUGUUUAAAGCAGGCUAACGCUUGAAUACAUUAGCAUGGAAUAAUGAAAUAGGACGUUCGAUCUUAUUUUGUUGGUUUCUAAGAUUGACGUAAUGAUUAAUAGGGAUAGUUGGGGGCAUUAGUAUUCAAUUGUCAGAGGUGAAAUUCUUGGAUUUAUUGAAGACUAACUACUGCGAAAGCAUUUGCCAAGGAUGUUUUCAUUAAUCAAGAACGAAAGUUAGGGGAUCGAAGACGAUCAGAUACCGUCGUAGUCUUAACCAUAAACUAUGCCGACUAGGGAUCGGAUGAUGUUAAUUUUUAAUGACUCAUUCGGCGCCUUAC